rnacentral:rRNA from 1 species
UACGGACGGGGCAAGCGUUGUUCGGAAUCAUUGGGCGUAAAGGGCGCGUAGGCGGUUUUGUUUGUCCGCUGUAAAAGUCCACGGCUCACCCGUGGAGAGUCGGCGGAAACGGCAAGACUUGAGGCUGGGGGGGGUUGGUGGAAUUCCCUGUGUAGCGGUGAAAUGCGUAGAUACGGGGGAGAACACUCGUGGCGAAGGCGGCCAGCUGGCCCAGUCCUGACGCUGAGGCGCGACAGCGUGGGGAGCAAACAGG